GAGGUUAAUUUUACUAAAGGAAGUCAGCCUAAUCGCUUUCAAAACAACAUGGCUUCUUCUAUUCAAAUUGAUCAAAGUAAGAAAAAUGGUGGAGAUUGGAGUAAGUCGAAGGCUAAUCCUAAUAAUAGAAGGUGUUUUAAUUGCGGUGACCAUAAUCAUUUCAUUAGUGAUUGUCCCAAGCCUAAGAAAAACCAACAUAGAGAUCAAGCCAAUAUGAUAUCCGACGUUGGUGAUGUAUUCUAAUGUGUUAGA
rnacentral:lncRNA from 1 species